ACACAUGCAAGUCGAACGGCAGCACGGGUGCUUGCACCUGGUGGCGAGUGGCGAACGGGUGAGUAAUACAUCGGAACAUGUCCUGUAGUGGGGGAUAGCCCGGCGAAAGCCGGAUUAAUACCGCAUACGAUCUAUGGAUGAAAGCGGGGGACCUUCGGGCCUCGCGCUAUAGGGUUGGCCGAUGGCUGAUUAGCUAGUUGGUGGGGUAAAGGCCUACCAAGGCGACGAUCAGUAGCUGGUCUGAGAGGACGACCAGCCACACUGGGACUGAGACACGGCCCAGACUCCUACGGGAGGCAGCAGUGGGGAAUUUUGGACAAUGGGCGAAAGCCUGAUCCAGCAAUGCCGCGUGUGUGAAGAAGGCCUUCGGGUUGUAAAGCACUUUUGUCCGGAAAGAAAUCCUCGGUUCUAAUAUAGCCGGGGGAUGACGGUACCGGAAGAAUAAGCACCGGCUAACUACGUGCCAGCAGCCGCGGUAAUACGUAGGGUGCGAGCGUUAAUCGGAAUUACUGGGCGUAAAGCGUGCGCAGGCGGUUUGCUGAGACCGAUGUGAAAUCCCCGGGCUCAACCUGGGAACUGCAUUGGUGACUGGCAGGCUAGAGUAUGGCAGAGGGGGGUAGAAUUCCACGUGUAGCAGUGAAAUGCGUAGAGAUGUGGAGGAAUACCGAUGGCGAAGGCAGCCCCCUGGGCCAAUACUGACGCUCAUGCACGAA
rnacentral:rRNA from 1 species